rnacentral:rRNA from 1 species
CAUAAGACGUACAGCCUGCCCAGUGACUCUGUUUAACGGCCGCGGUAUCCUAACCGUGCGAAGGUAGCGUAAUCACUUGUUCUUUAAAUGAGGACUAGUAUGAAUGGCAUCACGAGGGUUAUACUGUCUCCUUCUCCUAAUCAGUGAAACUAAUCUUCCCGUGAAGAAGCGGGAAUAAGAAUAUAAGACGAGAAGACCCUAUGGAGCUUUAAACUAUAUUACAUUUGCCAAAAACAUUUUAAUUCCAGAAAAAUAAACCUAUCCGAGCAUUAUGAUAAUUAGUUUUGGGUUGGGGUGACCGCGGAGUAAAACUCACCCUCCGCAUUGAACAAGACUGCUUCUUUAGCCAAAAGCUACGACUUUAAGCAUCAAUAAAUUGACAUUAUUGACCCAAUAUUUUGAUCAACGAACCAAGUUACCCUAGGGAUAACAGCGCAAUCCACUUCAAGAGCUCCUAUCGACAAGUGGGUUUACGACCUCGAUGUUGGAUCAGGGUAUCCCAGUGGUGCAGCCGCUACUAAAGGUUCGUUU